UACAGAGGGUGCAAGCGUUAAUCGGAAUUACUGGGCGUAAAGCGUGCGUAGACGGUUAUUUAAGUCAGGUGUGAAAGCCCCGGGCUCAACCUGGGAAUUGCAUUUGAGACUGAAUAGCUAGGGUGCGGAAGAGGGAAGCGGAAUUUCCGGGUGUAGCGGUGAAAUGCGUAGAUAUCGGAAGGAACACCAGUGGCGAAAGCGGCUUCCUGGUCCAGCACCGACGUUCAGGCACGAAAGCGUGGGGAGCAAACAGG
rnacentral:rRNA from 1 species